rnacentral:rRNA from 1 species
GCAGCAGCCGCGGGAAUACAGAGGGUGCGAGCGUUAAUCGGAUUUACUGGGCGUAAAGCGUGCGUAGGCGGCUUCUUAAGUCGGAUGUGAAAUCCCUGAGCUUAACUUAGGAAUUGCAUUCGAUACUGGGAAGCUAGAGUAUGGGAGAGGAUGGUAGAAUUCCAGGUGUAGCGGUGAAAUGCGUAGAGAUCUGGAGGAAUACCGAUGGCGAAGGCAGCCAUCUGGCCUAACACUGACGCUGAGGUACGAAAGCAUGGGGAGCAAACAGGAUUAGAUACCCCCGUAGUCCCUGUCUCUUAUAC